rnacentral:lncRNA from 1 species
UUGAAUCGACGCCGCCGCCCCCUGCGCCCUCGCCGUAGCCGACGCACCGUCGUUCCCUGCGGCGGCCGUCGCCGCCGCUUGGUGCUCCCGUGAGCUGCCACGGCCUGCCUGGUGCUUCGCCGCCGCGGCCCCGCGCCGCCGCAGGCAGCGCGCCAUCGUCGGCUGCGACGGUCGCUGCCGCUCGCACGCUGCCGUCGACCACCGCAUGCUGCUGUCGCCAGCCUCCUGGUGCUCCUCGGCCGCAGCCCCCUGCUGUCGCCGCCUCGUGCUCUACGGCGCGUCCUUCUUUCUUAUGCCUGCCGUUUUCCACAAUUGAUAGUUUUUACUGCACUUGAUCUCAUGUUAUCUCAGUUCUUACUGAAUAAUGUUGAGUUGUUGACCACUAGUAAUUAUAGUAAUUAGUAUUAGCGCACUGCUUGAUUUUAAAAGGGAUCGCAGGUACCAAACUGCACCAGCUAAUAUUUACAGAGCUUUAUGCUAUUCUGUUUGGACUAACAUGCUUUCGGUUCUACAACUAAUUCAAUUAUUACUCUCACAGCUAUCAGCAAACAAUUGUGGUUGACUUAUGAUUACUCCAUGACAAGCAGUUCUUGCAAAGAAAUAGUAGCAUGUACUAGUGCAUACACAUAUUUGUAGCCAAAGCAUUUGCUUUUAGAAAUUAUAGCCUGCAAGAACCAUGCUUAUGAUGCAACUGGGCACCAUGUAGCGAGUGUUCUUCAUGGUGGAAAUAGAGUUCAGCAGAUGCAAGGAAGUAGCAGGGUCACUUUAUUUUUUUUUUUCAUAACUACCCCUGUUACUUUUUGGAGGUAUAAUAGAUAAACAGUAUAAAAUGUGGGGGGAAAAAAAUCAAAACCUGUGCAGAUUCAUUAAAGCUGGACAAACAUGAACAUGACCAAUAUGGUCAGUCUUCUCUCUACAAGUCCUAGCCUCUGUUCCAUUGAACAACUUCUUAACCUCCAAUAGGAUCUUUUUAUGGCGUGCAAAAUGCAAGUCACAGAAUAAACAGAAAAAUAACUGUACUUCAUUUGCCCUUUGUAAGAAAAAUGGCCCUAGGCCAUAAUGAUUUCAGUGAUUAAUGACAACAUAGUCAUUGGGACUAAUGUGUUUGCAAGAUGUACCUUUGUAGGUGUUUUAUAGGUUCCAAGGAUGAAAUACAAAAUCAUCAAAUGAUAAGAAAAAGAAAGACUUAGAAGAAUUCUAAGGCUCUCAAAUGAUGGUAAUGAAGCUGGGACAAAGACACGUGGAGUCUUGAAGCGAAUCCUGUUGAAGAUUGUGCAUCGACAUAAUCCACCGAUUCAUUCGGUGGUGAUCAAGUAUGGUCACCGAAUCAGUCGGUGACAAAAUGGACUGCAGAGGGCCAAGGAUGUGUACCAUGUGCACCGACACAUUCGGUGAGCACAGUAAGAUCGCAUCGAAUCAAUCAGUGCUGUCGGCUCGGCUCAUGAUCGGCUCAGAUUCGGCUCUGAAACUUCUUGAAGUUAUUUUAGCUAACACCGAUUCAUACGGUGGGUACUGGAGCGGAGCGGCGAAUCAGUCGAUGAAGUGGGAAGCAGCGGCUCAGGGGCUUCACCAAUUCAUACGGUGAUGGCCAAGGAAUGACACCGAAUCAAUCGGUGACAAAGGGCUCAGGCGUCAGCGGCUCAACGGCUACCUUGAGGGAGACCACCGACUCAUUCGGUGGUGCACAGCAGGGGGCACCGAAUCAAUUGAUGACCAUAGUUUCUGUGAUCGUUGCUCCAACGGCUAGUUUUUGAGGUUGGCUCUAUUUAUACCCCAAUGCCCAGCCAUUUGAAGGGUGUUAGAGCUUGAAGAAACUGUUGGCUUGUAUUCCACAUACACACAAGUGCUCUAGCCACCAAAGUGCUAAAGAGAAGAUUAAGGCAAUUAGCAUAAGGCUUAGGUUUUGAUUAGUGCUAAUUUAGGCCUAUUAGCGCAUUGCUUUAGGGUUUAGCCUAGAGUUAGGCGAGGUUUGCACACCUCCUUUGUAUCGGUGCUUGCGCGCACUAAGAGUUGUAAAUCUGGGACAUGUAAGUCUUGCGAGACCCUCCAACCGCGUUUGUGGAGUGGCCGUCGGUGCUUGUGAUAGGGAAGAGAGGCCCUAGGUGUUUUACCGAAGCUCUACCAAGUGAAGAGCGGCAAUGAGCAUCCGGAAGAGGCUAGGCGGAGACCCACUUGCGCAUGGGGAAGACCCGUCGGCUAUCCUACGGAGUUACUUGACCGGGAAGUUUAUGCCCUUGCGCGGGCAUUUCCUUUGAAAGGGGCUCCAACAACGAGGACCAGUGGAAAGUUUUACUUUCCAAUACCUCGGUAAAAAUCGUCGUGUCGCCACGCCGGGAGUUUGCCUUCUCUACCUCAUUUACCUUCUGCAUUUCUUAUUGCACUUACAUUCCGCAUUUACCUUUCCUAGAAUUGCCAUGUGUAGUUUAUAGGAUUGGAACCUAGAGUGCAAAACUCUUUGCGGUAGAGAUAGCAACACAUAGAAAAAACUAGUACACAUCUAGAUAGAAAUUGAUAUAGGUUUUUAUAUGUGCUUGGAGACUUAGUUUUUAGAACACCCAAUUCACCCCCUCUUAGGGUGUCACGGUCCCUUCACCCUUCUUUGAUACUAUAUAUAACAUCACAAUCUAUGCAGAAACGCACUGCAACUUGCGCCUCACGCCUUCAUUGCCUUUGGAACACUACCUGAGUUUGGAUUGCUGCUUCACUGGUGACUUAGUCAAAUUCCGUUGCUUAUCCUACUAAUUCUAAAUAAAUCAGUGCUGCUUCAUGCUGCAAACAAGUCAACCGUUGCUAUUCCUAGUCCAUACCUGGGAUUUCCUAGGACUGAAUUACCAACAGCCUAGUGAACUUCUGUAGUGGAGCAAUUAUGUAGAAGACACAAUUAUUGCGAUAAUUGACAUAGGUGAAGUUCAGAUAUUCAUAAAUAUGGUGAAGUCCAGCCUGUCAACAUUUUUGAAGUACUAUAUUCAACAUUGGUAAAUGCAUAUUUCAACAUUUAAGUUUACCUAAUUCAACAUUUUUUUAGACUACAAUAAUGAAUAUAAAGAUGCCAUAUUCUCAUAUGAUCCAUAUUUCAACAAUCCUAAGUACUAUAUUCAACAUUUUGCUAAACCUGUUUCAACAUUUGUGAAUAACAUAUUCAACAUUUUUGAAAAUGCAUUUUAAAUAACUAUUUAUACAUUUCUAAUCAUCUAGCUCAACAAUUAAGUUCAUCCUGUUUAAUAUUUUCUAUGAUUUUUCUACAAUACAAUAAAGUUAUUUCUCCUUAUUUACUUACUAUUACUAAAUAUUUCAACUUUCCUGAUUGUUGUAUUUCAGUAAAGCUACUUCGACGCUACUGAAUUACAAGUUAAGUUUAAGUUUUCUGAUUGUUGUAUUUGAACAUUUCUGUAAAUCUACCUCAACACUACCGCAUAACAUGUUCAACUUUCCUGAUUGUUGUAUUUCAACAUUUCUGUAAAGCUACUUCAACAUUAAAUAAUAAAUACUAUUGAAUAAUAAGUUCAACCUUGAUGAUUGUUGCAGUUCAACAUUUCUAUAAGUCUACCUCAACACUACUGCAUAACAAGUUCAACUUUUCUGAUUGCUGUAUUUCAACAUUUUUGUAAAUGUACCUCAACACUGUUGAGUAACAUCCUUGUAAUAAUAAAUUAAAGUACCACAAUCAACAUUCUAAAUUAUGAAAUUACAAUUUUAUCAAUUUCCUUCUAAUUUAUAUAUACUUUUUGUAUCCUUUCAUACUUUUGACUACAAUUUUAUGUUUAUGCUCAACAGUUUUUGGUAAGGCUUCAUGAGGAGAUAUUCAAGUGAUGCUUUAGCGCUACUUUGAGAAAUUUAGAACUUUGUAUUCGGUUGGAUGAUACCUUUGAUGUAAUUAUUAGUAUAUAUGGAUAUUUUUCCACUUACAAUUCGGUUUCUAAACUUUGUAUUCAGUUUAUGAACUUCAAAUCUUAGUUUGCAAGUUCCCACC